rnacentral:rRNA from 1 species
UAGCUUUAGUGGCAAACGGGUGAGUAACACGUAAGAAUCUACCUCCAGGAGGGAAAUAACAUUUGGAAACGAUUGCUAAUAUCCCAUAUGCUGAAAAGUGAAAUGAAUUUUGCCUGGAGAUGAGCUUGCGCCUGAUUAGCUAGUUGGUAAGGUAAUGGCUUACCAAGGCUACGAUCAGUAGCUGGUUUGAGAGGAUGAUCAGCCACACUGGAACUGAGACACGGUCCAGACUUCUACGGAAGGCAGCAGUGGGGAAUUUUCCGCAAUGGGCGAAAGCCUGACGGAGCAAUACCGCGUGAGGGACGAAUGCCUGUGGGUUGUAAACCUCUUUUAUUGGGGAAGAAUUUUGGCGGUACCUAAUAAAUAAGCAUCGGCUA